AUUGAACGCUGGCGGCAUGCUUUACACAUGCAAGUCGAAUGGUAACAGGCCGCAAGGUGCUGACGAGUGGCGAACGGGUGAGUAAUGCGUCGGAACGUGCCCAGUCGUGGGGGAUAACGCAGCGAAAGCUGCGCUAAUACCGCAUACGAUCUAUGGAUGAAAGCGGGGGACCGUAAGGCAUCGCGCGAUUGGAGCGGCCGAUGUCAGAUUAGGGAGUUGGUGGGGUAAAGGCUCACCAAGCCAACGAUCUGUAGCUAGUCUGAGAGGACGACCAGCCACACUGGGACUGAGACACGGCCCAGACUCCUACGGGAGGCAGCAGUGGGGAAUUUUGGACAAUGGGCGCAAGCCUGAUCCAGCAAUGCCGCGUGCAGGAAGAAGGCCUUCGGGUUGUAAACUGCUUUUGUACGGAACGAAACGGUCCUGGUUAAUACCUGGGGCUAAUGACGGUACCGUAAGAAUAAGCACCGGCUAACUACGUGCCAGCCGCCGCCGUAACAC
rnacentral:rRNA from 1 species